rnacentral:rRNA from 1 species
CACACCGUAAACGAUGAAUGCCAGUCGUCGGGCAGUAUACUGUUCGGUGACACACCUAACGGAUUAAGCAUUCCGCCUGGGGAGUACGGUCGCAAGAUUAAAACUCAAAGGAAUUGACGG